rnacentral:rRNA from 1 species
UACGUAGGGUGCAGGCGUAAUCGGAAUUACUGGGCGUAAAGCGUGCGCAGGCGGUUUGCUAAGACAGGUGUGAAAUCCCCGGGCUUAACCUGGGAACUGCGCUUGUAACUGGCAAGCUAGAGUGUGGGCAGAGGGGGGUGGGAAUUCCGCGUGUAGCAGUGAAAUGCGUAGAUAUCGUAAGGAAGACCAGUGGCGAAGGCGGG